UUAGGAAUAUUCGUCAAUGGGGGAAACCCUGAACGAGCAAUGCCGCGUGAGUGAUGAAGGCCCUUCGGGUUGUAAAACUCUGUUGUUUGGAAAGAAUUGUAAGAUUAGGAAAUGAAUCUUACUUGACGGUACCAUUCAAGAAAGCCACGGCUAACUACGUGCCAGCAGCCGCGGUAAUACGUAGGUGGCGAGCGUUAUCCGGAUUUAUUGGGCGUAAAGCGUGCGCAGGCGGUUUGUUAAGUCUAAAAUCAAAGCCCGAAGCUUAACUUCGGUUCGUUUUAGAAACUGGCAGGCUUGAGUAUGGUAGAGGCAAACGGAAUUUCUAGUGUAGCGGUAAAAUGCGUAGAUAUUAGAAGGAACACCAGUGGCGAAGGCGGUUUGCUGGGCCAUUACUGACGCU
rnacentral:rRNA from 1 species